UUUGCACGUCCUUUUCAAAUCUCGACGCAAACCCCAAAGCACAAAAUUUUCAUACAUGAAAACAACUUCUUAUAUAUUCCUAGGAUUUAAAUCAUUCGAAAUCACGAACAUGCUACCUAGUUCUCUUUUUAUAUGUCCAACGAUCGAAUCUUAAUUGGAAUCCACCCAAAAUGUAUAAAAUCAAAAUCAAAAUCCCUAGUUCUUCCCUCAGCUUUAGUUUCCUCGGUAGUUAUCGUCGAUGAAACGAUUCCGUCGAUGUAGGAGGAGAUUCAUUCUCUCUCUCCUCGCUGUUUCUGUCUUUGUCCCAAUUUUUCUACUCUCCGGCAGGCAUUUACAUCUAUCUGACGGUAAAUCUGCAUAAUUUUUCAUAAUUUUUUUUUGCAUAUUUUAUUUUAUGUUUAGUUCCUUCGCAUAAUUGAUCGUUUCUGGAUUUUGUUGGCAGUGUCAAGAGCAAAUAUUGAAGAUUUAUCAACACUUGUAUGAUCCCUCCUCUUAAAAUUUUAAAUUUCUACGUUCUUUUAUCUCUUUGUUCUUGGUUGGCUACGACAUUUGUAUGACCUCCAAAAGAUGGAACUUUGUAUGCUAAUAAAAGAAAAAUGAAAAACAAAAAUGAAC
rnacentral:lncRNA from 1 species